UGUCCUUUUGAGAAGACAGAGACACCAAACAGAGACCAACUGAGACCAGAGGCAGAGACCGGAGUGAGGAGACUGCACACCAGGGAGUGAACGCCAAGGAUCACCAGCAGCCGCCGGAAGCUGGAAGGCACAGAGAGGGACUCCCCUACCUGCUUCAGAGGGAGCACGGCCCUGCUCACACCCGUUUCAGACCGUUUUAGACCUCUGGCCUCCAGAACCGGGGGAGGAAGCAUUGUUUGAAGCCUCCUGGUUUGUGCGCUGUGUCACGGCCCCUCUGGAAACUGACACACACGCACGGCCACGACAAAGGCCCUUCACCACUGAGCUUGUGUCCAGCACCUUUCAUGUUCCACUGUGAAACAGCACCUGAGCAGGACGAACGCUGCAGGUGCGGGUGAGCCAGGACCCUCAGGAAGCAGCUGUCCGCAGAGGAGACACCUACAAACAAGAGCACAGACUUACACGGAUGCCCGUGUCGAACUGAUUCCGUCAGGUGAAGUCUUCGUGGAGUGUGGACUGGACACGGUGGGGGGUGAGUGGUCAGCUGUGAACACCGUGGAUGGUCUACAUCAUCUGCUGCCCGUUAAACUGCCAGAGUUUAUUGACCACACCUCUUACCAGACAGCUUCUCUGCUAUUGGCUUCAACGAAUCAGGAAACGAAAAUUUAUAAACCAAGUAAGGACAUAUUAUGAAUCUGCUCCUUUCAAGCACACAACACAUUUAUCAGUUUCUAUGUGCCAUCGGAUUGGAGGCAUCACGAAACAAGAUUCACACAGAUCCUGAAGGACACCUAAGGCUUUGAUCUGAAAGUCUAGAAAAGUCUGCAGUGACGCUCCUGGUUACGUACUGGUUCCACCUGCACUGAGAGCUCUCUCCGGCUCCUGGAACUCCUUGUGGCAUUAGUCUCUGCCCAUAAGUCUUCUACAAGGAAGCAAGCUUGUCAGCUCAAAAUUUGACCUUCGAUUUCACGUAUUUUGUUCAGGAAAGCACGUUACCGGACACCCAGAGGAGCACAACAGAAAGCCCCCUGAGGCCGUGCUUCCCUUCCUGAAUAUCAGCUCGGAGAACCUCCCAGUCUUGAUGGAAAUUUUCACUCGUGGGCAUUUUUCUCACACGCUUCACUGAGUCUUCAAAACAACUGGAUUUCUAUUGGGUUUAUGUUAGGAACGCCAAAGAAAUUAAUGAUGAACAAUGCAAUGAACCUCAGUUAUUCUGAUGGGGGAAAAGACAACUUCUAAGGCUGGAGGCACUUGUGAGGCAACAGUGCCCAUUUUCUGGGCUAUCCUCCAUCCAGAUGCAGGUGACCAGCGUCCAGGUGACGCGGCAGUCCUGCGUUACGUGUUUUCAUGUACCGACUCAUACGAUCCCACCACUCUCCUCCGGAGCCUAUGAGACAGGAACCCUUAUUUUUCUCAUAUUAUCUAUGAGAAAACUAAAGCAAUGGGAAGGCUGGCUUCUAAUACCUAAUCAGUUGAUGUACCAGGAGGAUUCUGCAUCCUGGGUGCUAUCUGGAGAUCUCUUGGGGACACGUGAUACAUGGAUCGCCUGGGACCCGUGUGGCCGUGGGCAGUGCACCCUCAGGAAGGGUCCUGGGGAAGUGGCCUUGAAGUCGGUAGCUCAGCCACGUCAGAAUGAUGCGCCUUGUCUCACCCCAAGCCCUGAAGUUCAAGUACAGAUCUCACGUUCCCCUCCAUUUCAGUCAUUAGCAACAAGCGGAUGUAAGCGUAGGCACCAGGCACACCUGUGCUGGGGAGCCACAGGUUAAUCGUUAGGGGCCAUUGGCUCCUUGUGCAGACUGACCUCAAGGGACAAGGAGGAGGGGUUUCCACGAUGGCUGUCGUGUGGCCUUUUCCACGCACCACAUCCUCGAGCCCACCAGGAGGUUUUGUGAAUUACCUCAUCAAUGCAAUAAAAACAACAAUACAAAUGGCCCUGUGAUGGAAUAUGUUCUUUAUUUAAAAGCCAAAGGGUAAGAAAUGGUUUUUGUGGGUCAGCAAGUUUUGCUAAAUCUGACAAGUGCCUGGAUCGGUUUUUAAAUGCACGUUUGUAUGUCUUCCGGCUACGUAAGCAAGCUGCCUUCGGUGGCUAUUUCCUGGCCGAGAGUGAGCGACCGGGAUAGACCUCACCCAGGAAGUCAUCAGACCCAACCUUCUGAGCUUGGGUGGUGCUCACAGGGAAACCUCGAAUCUCAACGGCGAGCAGACAGAGCCAGGAGGAGCAGUCGACAUUUCAUAGGAUGUUUGCCGUAGACGCCUUUCUCCUACUGAUGUAUUCCAGAAGACAAAUAGCUUAUCAAUGAAUGGAAGCUUCCGACUGUGUCUGACUAUCGAACAAUCGUGUUCCCAGCUGAUGUUCGUUUAUGCUGCACACUGCUGUAUACCUGCACUGUUGUCUAACAGUGUUAAUCUCUCCUAGCUGUGAGGGGUGCACAGAGAGCUUCCACAACGUCCCCGAGCCAUCGGGCGACGCCUCCGCUCACACACCAGCCUUCGGGACUCCCCACAUCUCGCUGGAGCUCCUCUGCCUGGACGUGGGGACCUAACCCAAAGCAAGGGCAGAUUACGCAGCACGGAGGACCCCUGCCUCCGGCUAGGUUAACCGAGUCGACCAGGACGUCUGUUACUCUCCUGCGUGUGCUUGGAGGAAAACAAGAAACAGAGUGAGGGCAGGUGGGCACGUCCGGCACCUACACGGGGCCGGGCACGCGGGGGCUCAUAGCAGCCCUCCUCCCUCUUCGCCAAGCGUUUACGUCUAACUAUAUUUAACCCUCACCAAAAUGCAAUGUGGCAGUAACGGACCCACCUCCCAGAUGCGAAACUUAAGCUCAGAGAGGCUGGGGACUUCGUAAGGUCACGUGAGCGGUAACCGGCAGACUCGGGGGUCUGUCCAGGUGGAUGGGCCCAGAGGUCGACCGUUGUCACUGGACCACGUGCCGCGCGUGAUGGCCGUCCUCUGCCCUGUGCCCUUUGUCUUCCUCCUCCCGGUUAAUCCUCCUGAGAAGAACACAGAAAUAUGUAAACUCGAGGAACAGGAAAUAAAAUUUCUGGAGCUUAGUGACGGCAAGCUGGAAUGUGCAGAGAGCCCGUGGCCGGGACGGGAACCGUCGGUAGAUGUGCCACAGCAUUCGUCCGGAGCGUCCUUCCCCGCGGGAGACGAGAACGUGAGCCAUCCCACCCGGCACCUCCACCCACCCGUGCCCUGCUCUCUCUCCCAGCCGCUGCCCGGCGCCCGAUCCUGCCACUUGUCACCAAAUACCCAGUGUUGUAUUUCGUCAGUAAAACGGAGCGAAAAGUACUUGCCCGGAAAUCCUCGGAGGGUCGUUUGAAGAGCGAGCGACAAGAGCUGUGGAAAAGAAGACGAACACACAAGCCCAGUGUGGCAUCGCUGCUGUCCUGCUCGAGUCUGACUGCUCAUCUGGCACCUGCAGGUGCACGGGGCGGGGUCCCCAGGCGGCCCGACGGCAGGAGCCAGCCGGCUACCGCGGACACCUCGGCCCUCAGGCAGCCGCAGACCAAAGUCCACACGAGACGCUGUAUUUUUAGUUAAAUCGAGCCUUCCUCCGAAUUAAAUGCCCUCCCAAGAUA